UAUGGCUCAGGAUGAACGCUGGCGGCGUGCCUAACACAUGCAAGUCGAACGGGGUUAAGGGAAAUUUCGGAUGGAACUUAACUUAGUGGCGGACGGGUGAGUAACGCGUGGAUAACCUGCCUCACACUGGGGGAUAGCAGCUGGAAACGGCUGGUAAUACCGCAUAAGACCCCGGCACCGCAUGGUGCUGAGGUAAAAGAUUUAUCGGUGUGAGAUGGAUCCGCGUCUGAUUAGCCAGUUGGCGGGUAACGGCCCGCCAAAGCGACGAUCAGUAGCCGGCCUGAGAGGGUGAACGGCCACAUUGGGACUGAGACACGGCCCAAACUCCUACGGGAGGCAGCAGUGGGGAAUAUUGCACAAUGGGCGCAAGCCUGAUGCAGCAACGCCCGCGUGAGUGAAGAAGUAUUUCGGUAUGUAAAGCUCUAUCAGCAGGGAAGAAAGGCCCGAAAGGGAGAUGACGGUACCUGACUAAGAAGCCCCGGCUAACUACGUGCCAGCCGCCGC
rnacentral:rRNA from 1 species